UAUUGUUCGUCAACAUUUGAUGGCUUCUCAGUAUCUUGGUCGGUGUUUUUUUCUGGCGCAAUUCGAUAUCGUUUAGUCAUAUCCAGCUGAAUUAUAACCAUUUAGUAAAAUAAUAAGAGCCAAGCAUUAACGUACCAUUUGACGUUUGCAUUCGCCAUACGCCUCUAUCAGAUUUUUGCAUUCUUCUGGAAGUUCGUCCUUGUUUUUGAGACAUUCUCGUGCACUUUUUUUUUUAACAAACAUACAAUCAGAAUGUAACAAACAAUUUGCUAAAUCUUCACGAAUAACUUUACACGAUCGGCCCAUUUUUUACUGUAAUUUUAAAACAAGGCUAAAAGUACAUUGAAUUCGUUCUUGUCAGUAGAAAAUAGGAUUUGGCGUAAGGUAAGGUGAACCUCUACAAUUUGUUAAUCCCUUAAAAGAACCAUAUGAUCAAAUGUUCUAUACUAGAUUCACCAUACGUAAAAUACAUACUAUUAAGAAAAUAAUUAAGCAAGCUGCUUUUAAUUAGGUUUCAUAAAACUGGGAAUCCAAAAUCUUUUGUCGGGCUAAACGCAUAGUAAUUUGACA